rnacentral:tRNA from 1 species
GUGUGUGGCUCAAUGGUAGAGCACUUGCCUAGCACUGGUGAGUCUCUGGGUUCAAUCCUCAGCACCACA